rnacentral:lncRNA from 1 species
UAUUGAUUGAUUUAUUUUUUGGUACCAGGGAUUGAACUCGGGUCCUUGUGCUUGCAAGGCAAGCCACCGAACCGCUGAGCUGAAUCCGCGGCCCUUCAAAGGUAUUAUUUUAAAAUGCUGCUAAAUGAUAUGAUCAAAGUCAUAUUGGAAAAUGACAAAUCAUUCAUCAAGAACCACAACCCUAAGUUACAGAGGUGAUCAAAUGCAUCUGAAAGGCCUUUUCUCUCACAGUUGCUACGGUACAUACUGCUUCUGCGGAAGAAGAAACGAUGAGAGAGAUAACUCCCCUUUGAUCAUACCACUGUCUCAUCACAUCGUCUUCCCCUGACUUUGUGCAGUCUCCUUCUAACUGGAUUCCCUGUAUCUUUCCCAAUCAAUAUGCCAUCUAAUUCAAGGGAUGUUGGCCUAAAACGUAAGUACCUUUUAUUUUUCUUCCAUUUCCCCUUGCUCCCUGACUCUUUCUCGAAAAUUUAGCCCAAAACCAUAGAUUUGUGCUAACCCGCCUAGAGAUUAGUGUGGGGGACUGAAUAUAAUGACCCA